rnacentral:rRNA from 1 species
AACGAACGCUGGCGGCAUGCCUAACACAUGCAAGUCGAGGGGUAACAAGAGAAAAGCUUGCUUUUCUUGUUGACGACCGGCGCACGGGUGAGUAACGCGUAUCCAACCUGCCUAUAACUAGGGAAUAACCUUGCGAAAGUAAGACUAAUACCCUAUGAUUUCCUUUGAUGACAUCAGAUUAGGAAUAAAGAUUUAUCGGUUAUAGAUGGGGAUGCGUCUGAUUAGCUUGUUGGCGGGGUAACGGCCCACCAAGGCAACGAUCAGUAGGGGUUCUGAGAGGAAGGUCCCCCACAUUGGAACUGAGACACGGUCCAAACUCCUACGGGAGGCAGCAGUGAGGAAUAUUGGUCAAUGGGCGGAAGCCUGAACCAGCCAAGUAGCGUGCAGGAUGACGGCCCUAUGGGUUGUAAACUGCUUUUAUACAGGAAUAAAGUUAGCCACGUGUGGUUAUUUGUAGGUACUGUAUGAAUAAGGACCGGCUAAUUCCGUGCCAGCCGCCGCUGUAA